UCUGGUUGAUCCUGCCAGUAGUGAUAUGCUUGUUUCAAAGAUUAAGCCAUGCAUGUCUAAGUAUAAGCGAACUUAUACAGUGAAACUGCGGAUGGCUCAUUGAAACAGUUUGAAUUUAUUUGAUGAAUGUAUGAGAAUACUACUUGGAUAACCGUAGUAAUUCUAGAGCUAAUACAUGCAACGACGCCCGACCGUUUCACUACGGAAGGGCUGUAUUUAUUGGAUACCAAAACCAUCCUUCCCUCGGGAAGUUUUGUUUGAUGAUUCACAAUAACUGAUCGGAUCGCCACUGUGGUGGCGACAGGUCAUUCAACAUUCUGCCCUAUCAGCUUUCGAUGGUUGUGUAGUGGACCACCAUGGCCAUAACGGGUAACGGAGAAUCGGGGUUCGAUUCCGGAGAAGGAGCUUGAGAAUUGGCUACUACAUCUAAGGAAGGCAGCAGGCGCGCAAAUUACCCAAUCCCGAUUCGGGGAGGUAGUGACAAAAAAUAACAAUACCGGGCCUUUUUGGGCUUGGUAAUUGGAAUGAGGGAGAGUUAAACGGACCAUCGAGUAUCCAUUGGAGGGCAAGUCUGGUGCCAGCAGCUGCGGUAAUACCAGCUCCAAUAGCGUAUAUUAAAGUUGUUGCAGUUAAAAAGCUCGUAGUUGGACUUGUGUGCGCUGUCCGCGGGUGGCCUGCGCCCAAAAGGGCGUUUCGGUUCGGCCCCGGUGGCGCCUUGAAAUCUGCAGCUGGGGGGACGUUGGCCUUAACUGGUCGGCGACCGCACGCCGGCUGCUCGGUUACUGUGAGAAAAUUAGAGUGUUCAAGGCAGGCAUUGGGUGCAAUUGAAUACAUUAGCAUGGAAUAAUAAAAUAUGGCUCCUGCCGUAUUUUGUUGGUUUUGACUGGUGGGAGUAAUGAUUGAUAGGGACGGUUGGGGGUGCUAGUAUUGAGCGGCCAGAGGUGAAAUUCAUGGAUUCGCUCAAGACUAACUUAUGCGAAAGCAUUCACCAAGGACGUCCUCUUUAAUCAAGAACGAAAGUUGGGGGAUCGAAGACGAUCAGAUACCGUCGUAGUCUCAACCAUAAACUAUGUCGACUUGGGAUCGGCGGUAGUUUUUUCAUUAAGACACUGUCGGGACCACGGGAGAAAUCAAAGUGUCUGGACUCUGGGGGAAGUAUGGUCGCAAGGCUGAAACUUGAAGGAAUUGACGGAAGGGCACCACCAGGAGUGGAGCCU
rnacentral:rRNA from 1 species